rnacentral:lncRNA from 1 species
CUUGUCGGCGCCAUUUUGUCUCGGCAGCGGUGGCCGUAGCUCCAUCGCAUUUUAUGUUUCUGGCGAGAAGGGAACGGAGUUUUCAUCAGGUAGAUUGGUUUUUGUGCGGCCGUCCUCCACCGUUUCCUCCAGGACAGCACCUAGUCGUGGCCGGAGGAGUCUCAGAGCUGUCAGAAAGAAUAAGACUGAUUUUAUGGGAAAAUUAAGCAGAUGCUCCAGUUUGAGAAACCUGGAUCUGCGAUCUGUUUGUGGCACAGCACUUUGGGAGGCUGAGGCGGGCGUGAGAUUGGGAGUUUGAGACCAGCCUGACCAACAUGGAGAAACCGCAUCUCUACUAAAAAUACAAAAUUAGCCUGGCGUGGUGGCGCAUGCCUGUAAUCCCAGCUACUCUGGAGGCUGAGGCAGGAGAACCGCUUGAAUCCGGGAGGCGAAGGUCACGAGUGGUAUUCAGUUAAGAGAACAAUUAUUUCGUAUAAGCCACAUCAGAGACGACUGAAGAUGAAAAAACUACCAUCCCCGUAUAUAACUAAUUUGUGCUGUGCACCAACAAGAACCUGCUUUAAAUUUCCAUGGCAAUUUACAACCCCCAUACUGUACCAGGCAAGGUCUCUAUGAAUAAAGAAAAGCAAAUAGAAUCUUAUCAGAUAAGUGCUUUUAUAAGUCUAAAUAUAUUCUUUGGAAUCUCUAAAGCAAAACUUUUAAACUUUUUUUUUUUUUUUUUUUUUUUUAGGUACCAGCAUCAAGAUGAUUUAUGGUAAUAAGGUACUCAGUCUUUGCUUAAAAUAAAUUUUACGUUUAUCAAAGUAAAAUUUACCAGCUUUUUUUCCUAAAGAGGCUAGUCAUAUCUCAUCAGUGGUUACAAAGUAUCCUUACAAUUGAACCUACAUUUGUUAAUCCUGUUCAGUGUGUAUGAAAAUCACUUGGUGGCCGGGCAUGGUGGCUCACGCCUGUAAUCCCAGCACUUUGGGAGGCCAAGGCGGGCAGAUCACAAGGUCAGGAGUUCGAGACCAGCCUGGCUAAUAUAGUGAAACCCCAUUUCUACUAAAAAUGCAAACAUUAGUCAGGCAUGGUGGCAGGUGCCUGUAGUCCCAGCUACUUGGGAGGCUGAGGCAGGAGACUCUCUUCAACCCGUGAGGCAGAGGUUGCAGUGAGUCGAGAUCAUGUCACUGCACUUCAGCUUAAGCAACAGAGCGAGACUCCAUCUCAAAAAAAGAAAAGCACGUCACUCGAUGUUCUUUCUUUCAUAAGAGUUGAAGAACUAGAUAUAAAACCAAGGAAAAUAACCUAAAGUCUGAAAAAGACCAGAAUCGAAGUUUCCUGAUUCAUAUUUUAAUGUUUUGAAAUUUAUACUCCAGGCUGGGUGCAGUGGCUUGUGCCUGUAAUCCCAGCACUUUGGGAGGCCGAGGCGGCCGGAUUGCCUGAAGUCAGAAGUUCGAGACCAGCCUGACCAACAUGGUGAAACCCUGUCUCUACUUAAAAAUACAAAAGAGCUGGGCAUGGAGGUGGUGCGCGCCUGUAACCCUAGCUACUCGGGAGGCUGAGGCCUAAGAAUCUCUUGAACCCAGGAGGCAGAGGUUGUAGUGAGCCGGGAUCACGCCACUGCACUCUAGCCUGGGCGACAGAGAGAGAGACUGUCUAAAAAAGGAAAAGAAAAAAAUUUAUACGCCAAAAAAGAUAUUCUGAGAUAACCUGUAGUUACCACUAACUUUGUGACAAAAUUAUAAAAAUCCACAGCCAUCUAUGAAUCUGUAGGCAGACCUGAAGUUUGAACGACUGGUGAAGACAUCUGAUUUUCUUUAUAGCCAAGUUAGGAUAACAAAAUGCAAACAAGUCAUUAAUAUUUACUAUAUGCAAGAUACAGAAAGAUGAAGGAAGGAGUAAGAAGUUAUCCUUCGUGGAACUAUUCAAAGCAAAAAUGCAAAAUACCAGGGAAAGCUUUGAAGAACCAAGAUUUGAGCAGGUUCUUAGAAUAUAGAUUGGAUUGGAUUUGAUUUCAAGAAAGAUGAACGUGUAAAGCAGAAGUGGGAAGCCAAAAACUUUUUUCCAAAUUAGAAUUAAGCAUUCUUUCAAUGAACAUUUGGAAAUCAAGGUAGAAAAAUAUCCCUAGGGCCUAGCUGAGGAGUCUGUAUGUUGUUGGGUUUUGAUAGUAACCAGUCCAAGAUUUUGUUAUUAGACGUGGGUUUCUGAAUAGACAGGCAUUUCUGAACAGACAUGACAGGAUCAAAACAAUGUUUGAGCAAACUGCCCUUCAUCUACUGUGGAUAUGUUGGGGGAUGAUGGAAUAUAGUGAAAGAUAAUGGGUGCUCAUACAGCAGUCUAGACUUAAGGUGAUUCAACUACUAUAUAUUAAACUAGAUUAUCUUUUAUUUUUUAAUUUUGAAAUCUGGAUGCUCAAGCUCUGCCUGCACAACCACAUGAGGAAGAAGGAACAAUGACAACAAAAAUAACACUAAAUUUAAAUUUAAGAGUACUACUUUUAGGAAAUAGACAAACCAUUAUUUGGGUACAACUAAAGGCAACUGGCAUGGACUCAAAUAUUUUGGGGAAGAAAAAGACUAAAAGUUCUAAGGAAGAAAAUGCGAACCUUGAUAGUUUGAAAUAGUUAAAAAGACAGUGUAGAAACUGCUUAGGCAGUUUGAUUAUGGACUAUUAGAUGAUACUUGGGUCUGAUAAUGGUAUAAGGAGAAUAAAGUAUUUAGGGAUCCAAUAUUACGCCUGCAGCUUUUUCCAAAUAGUUCAUGGGGGAGGGGGAUGUGUAAGUGGUUAACUGAAGUCUAACUAGAUAGGUUUGUUGUAAGCUUAGGAUGUUUACAGUUCUUCAUGUUAAGUUGAGCGUGAUGGGAAGGGAAAGAAUGCUGAUCUUUAAAUUUUUGUCCUUAGUUAAGUUCUGUAUUUAGUGAAUUAAUUGCAUCCUAAAAAGUCAAACUUGAAAAGCACAUUUUAAAUGGCAAAUCUAUUUUUUACAUGUUUGUGAAGUUUUUAUUUUUUAGUAAACAGACCAUCAGAAGAGAACAAUGGUACAGAGCAGGGGUCAGCAGAUGGAUUUUGUAAAGCAUCAACUUGUAAAUAUUUUCAAGUUUAUUAGCUGUAUGGCUCUGGUUUCUGUUCCCUGUUCCAAAUGUUAAAGUCUACUGUUGUAUUCUAAAAGCAGCCAUGGACUGAAUGUAGCUGUGUUCCAAUAAAACUUACACAAAAGCAGGCAGUGGGCCAUAAUUUGCAACACCUGAUUCACAGCAUAAUUUUGUCACAAACUGAAAGUGUUCCUCAAUUAAAGUGAUUUUUUUUUCUUG